rnacentral:rRNA from 1 species
GAUGAACGCUGGCGGCGUGCCUAAUACAUGCAAGUCGAGCGAACAGACGAGGAGCUUGCUCCUCUGACGUUAGCGGCGGACGGGUGAGUAACACGUGGAUAACCUACCUAUAAGACUGGGAUAACUUCGGGAAACCGGAGCUAAUACCGGAUAAUAUAUUGAACCGCAUGGUUCAAUAGUGAAAGACGGUUUUGCUGUCACUUAUAGAUGGAUCCGCGCCGCAUUAGCUAGUUGGUAAGGUAACGGCUUACCAAGGCAACGAUGCGUAGCCGACCUGAGAGGGUGAUCGGCCACACUGGAACUGAGACACGGUCCAGACUCCUACGGGAGGCAGCAGUAGGGAAUCUUCCGCAAUGGGCGAAAGCCUGACGGAGCAACGCCGCGUGAGUGAUGAAGGUCUUCAGAUCGUAAAACUCUGUUAUUAGGGAAGAACAAAUGUGUAAGUAACUAUGCACGUCUUGACGGUACCUAAUCAGAAAGCCGCGGCUAACUACGUG